UACGAAGGGGGCUAGCGUUGCUCGGAAUCACUGGGCGUAAAGCGCACGUAGGCGGAUUCUUAAGUCAGGGGUGAAAGCCCAGAGCUUAACUCUGGAAUUGCCUUUGAGACUGAGAGGCUUGAGUACGGGAGAGGUGAGUGGAAUUCCCAGUGUAGAGGUGAAAUUCGUAGAUAUUGGGAAGAACACCGGUGGCGAAGGCGGCUCACUGGCCCGUAACUGACGCUCAUGCACGACAGCGUGGGGAUCAAGCAGG
rnacentral:rRNA from 1 species